UGUUUGAUAUCAGACGUGCAUGUCGCAUCGUUUUGCAUCACACCAGUGUGUGGCUGUAGCUCAGAUUCCUGGUUGUCCCCUUUUCUUUUGCUUUCAUGGUGACAUUUAAGGCGUCCGCUCUUUGCUGGGACACGGAUUGUUUUGUUUAUUUUUAUUUUACGCUCGGGCGUCCAGUUUCAGUGGCCGUAAAGUGCUCGGACGGGGUUGAUAAGGAACUAAAGUCGCGCAUAAGGUGGUUGUUGGCGCCUGAAAUAAAGCAGAUCUCCGUUACCCAGUUUUCCCCAUAAGGUAUUCAUGUAAUGGCGGUGUGGACCGUUAUUUGCUGCAGUGAGGGCGGGGCGGUUGCUCUCGCAUGUCGGAGACGAGCCAGGUAGGAUAGGUGACGAAACACCUACAUAGGUGCUUUCAUUUGCGUGUCUUAGUAAAUACACAUAUUCUAACGCAAGAUAUACACACAACAGUCGUUUUCACAAGCCUAAUCAUUUGUAACCUACAUUGCUUUGUAUGGAAACAAAGGUAGUGUCUAUUCAUCUCAGCGUGGACAGGUUCAGGGAGGAGCUGCUUCGCUGUUUCUUUUUUUGUCGAGUGUAAUUACACGCGAAUAGUCUGUUUUGACAGCUCUGAGCAGUUAUGAAACAUUAAUAAAACGUAUAGAAAUACAUAGCGGGCAGUUUGGCGAGCAAGUUUUGGCGCGGACUGAUGUAUUGUGUGUGUGAUGAACACAAAGCGUGACGUAAGCACGAUGCUGUCGUAACUUUUGUUUGCUUACGGCACUGCUUCUCUUCAGGACUCGAGCUUGACAUGUUCAUCGGACCAUACGAACUUUACCAUACGUUACUGCAGGGAGAGGCAUUCGGAAAUGAGGUCACACGGUGGUCCACCCGAGGCUCAUUUUCAUUGGUCCAGUUACUCAGCCUCAUAUUUCAAGGGAAAUGAGUCGCACAUCAUGUUUGUGUGCGUCUGUGUACUUUUAACUGGUGUGUGGGUCAUCAGUGCUGCAGGAGUGAAUGCUAGCAGAGAGGCCAUAGGUAAUCAGUACAUACAUGUACAUCUCUCUGUAUUUGCCACGAGUAUGGUAGAGAAAGACAGAAAGUGAAACACAUGUGUUUGGAAACCAUUCUUUCCCUGGCACUCUCCUCCUGGCCUUUUAAGUUAACCUUUGACCUCUACAACCACAUAUGUUAGCAUUUAUCUCUCUGGUCAGCAGCAUGCUGGUUUUAACCAGUCAUUGUGUGUGAUUGUGUGUGACUUAAGGAAUACCAAACCUAAAAAAUAAAGUUCCCUAUUAAAAAUAAUAUUUAUGAUAUAAUAAUAAUAAUUAAAUCUACAUAUAAAGUAAUGCAUAUGUUGUUACUUACGUUUCCUUUAAUUGUCAUGCAUCAUUAACAGUAAACAUUAAACAAACUUAGAUACUGUAGUUCUGCACAGGUGGCAAUGCACAGAUAUAAUAUACAUGUUACCAAAAGUAACAAUGUGCAAUCAUCCUUAUUGUCUUGUUAGUAUUAAUGAACAGAUUAAUGAUGUAGUAAGCUACAUCAUAAUAUAACAGUUUAAAUAUUGAUUAAUAAUCAAGAUAAAGGUGAAUUCAAUUUUCAAACCAUGUAUACAUAAAAUGAAUUAAAUGUGAUUUUUUACAUUUCAUUUGAGCCCAAAUCACAAAGUAUUAUUAGAUUAGAUGCUGCCAAGUCAAACUACGAGUGUCAUUUCACACAUUUUUUCAUUUUGAAAAAAUAAAUAAAUACAUUCCUCUGGAAAAAAAAAAGCAUGGCGGCAUGUGACACGAGGCAAAAAAAGAAAGAAAAAGGCAUAAUUCUGAACCUGUGUUUAUUUUAAUUGACACUUAGAAAUAAUGAUUAAAACGGUAGUUUUUUUUAUUGAUUAUCAUUUAUGGCUGCAUUUAGAGUAGAAAUAAAGCAUGGUCAUAUGUUUUGUGUCCCUGGAACAUAAUUGGAACAUAAUAAGGGUUAGAGCAAUAAAAUAUAGUAUUGGUAUUUGUAAUAAUAAGGUUUGUGAUGAAAUGGAGUUAAUAUCUUCAAGUGGUUAUGCAACUUACCUAUCUAUUUAACAUGGUGAUAGCUUAUAUUUGAGAUGACUCCCAUUGCGAUUUGUGCAAUUUGUGUCCAGUAAGUCACUUUGGAUGCAAAGCUCCUACAAAAUAACAAGGAGCCAUAAAUGGCAUUUUCCUGUGGAUGACAGACCCUCACAGGCCCUGUCUACACCUAUUAUUUAGAUGCAUUUCGGGCAAUCCAUUUGAAACGGGACGACCCUAAAGACAAGUGUAAAAGAGGUUCGAAAUGUUUUGAGAAUCGUCCACUUUAACCACAUUUGGAGGUGAUUGAAUAUGCAUGUUGACCACAUUUUGCAUGUAUCGGACACACUCAUGCAUGCAAACAGCAAUGAAGGACCACCUACUCACCUGUCAAUAAACCUCUGUGCAUAAACAAGACUUUGCCAGUUACGUGUGGUAAAUAUUUUUAAGUUAAUACAGGUACUUCACUUAAAUUACUGGGAAUACUACUUGAAGCAUCAUGUUUGUGCUUAGAUUGAAUUUAAGUAUAAUUGGGAAAAACAUCUGUCUGACUUUGUGGAUCUGGGAGUGUUUUAGCAGAGUGCUUGAGGAUUACCUGUGCUUGUUAAUUCAGAGGAAAAUGACAUUGUUCUCAUCAUAUUGUUCUCAUCUUUCUCUACAUUUUACACUUAAUCUUCUCCCUCUUCCCCGGAGUGUGUGUAAUGCGCGUGUCAAUGUGUGUUGUAAAGGUAUGGUGCGAGUGUAUAUGUGCAGGACAAAAAAGGCAAAACGAAUACCUGUAGCCCUGAGCUCUUCUCACACUUCCCUGUUGAUGGAAAAGGGAAAUGGGAGGGCAUUAAAGAGCUUUUCACAUCUCACUCUGUGCAUUGGAGUAGUGGGGGGCUUGUGACUGCUGGGAAUCUCUUUUUGCAUGCUAAUCUCUCCCAGUGGUUCGCCGCCUCUUUGUACGGCAGGGGGAAAGUUUCUCAGGGUAAGGGGAGGGUUCUUCUCUUUCUUUUUUUAAGGGUGGGGGAGGGUUGUGUUCGUGCGACUGAACGAAACAGAAAUAUGUGGAAUAAGUUUGUAUGGAUGAGAGAAAUAAAAUGCACCGAUAGAUGGUACAGAGUGUUUAAUUGGUCUUUAAUUGGUCUUAAGCAAAAGGUCGGGGAGAGAUGCUCCCAAGUUGUUCUAAAUUGAUUAUGUUCCUAGACACGUGCAUGCACGCACACACCCCUCAAACAUAAACACACAUGCACACUUCAUUUCAUAACUAAGACAUAUUGAAAGUCUUUCUGUCAUAAUAAACAGUCACUUCAAGAGAUUCAUUUAUUCCAGCUAAUAAUUUGCUGCUGAUUUUAAACUUUAAAAUGUUUAAACUUUGAUUUUUUUUCCACACACACCUUCACUUUAGAUUCGCACCUAAAGUAAUAUAUAUACUUUGUUACCUUUGACAAUUAUGUUUAAAAUAAUGUACCCACAUUAGAAUAGGCUCUAGUUACCCCUCAUGGUGGUAGAACUGCAGAUAAUUAGAAUACAGAUAUUUAUUGAUCAUUUUUGAGUGUGUUUACGUGCACACCAAUAAGCUGAUAACUACCAAAAAAUAGCUUAUUUAAAAAAUCUGACAACGCAAGAAAACUGUGAUUACAUGAGAUUUGAAACUAUCAGGUUAUUCUCUGCUUUUGACCUCAAAAUGUACACAGGCAUGCGCACAAUGUUUGCGUACAUUAAAGCGCUGGUGAAGGUGUUUACAUGCAAUGCAAAAUCAGGGUAAUAGGUAAUUUGUGUGUCGAUCAGUUUAUGACCUUACCAUGAUAAAAGAACAUGGUUUAAGGGGUUUAAAAGACCUUAAACACUGUCGGCUUAUAAAGCAUGAUCAGUGUAAGAUUGUACAUUUAAAUGCGCUCGUUGACAUAUUCAGAGUAAUUAAGGAAACUGUUAGUACUCCAAAUGUGGUACAUUUUAGUACAUCAAAAGUCGGUAAAUGAACAACAAAACACUGUUGUUUAGAUAAUUAUUCACAAGGUGUGCCAAAUGGUAGAAAAAAACUAUAUGAGAAAUAAUGUGUGGUUUUGUGGUGUUGUACUGCCACCUGCUCCAACAGGUGGCAGGGCAACCUUUUGCUUGUCCUAGGUGUGUUCCUAUUUUAAGAUAUAAGUGUGUGUUAAAGGAAUGUUCUGGGUUCAAUACAAGUUAAGCUCAAUCGAAAUCAGUUGUGGCAUAAUGUUGAUUACCAUAAAAAUUUAUUUUGACUCAUUCCUCCUUUAAAAAAAAGAAGCAAAAAUCGAGGUUACAGUGAGGCAUUUACAAUGGAAGUGAAUGAGGGCCAAUUUUUGAACAUUAAAAUACUCACUGUUUCAAAAGUAUAGCCACAAGACAUGAACAAUAUGCAUGUUAACAUGAUUUUAGUGUGAUAAAAUCACUUACAAACCUUUUCUGUGUAAAGUUAUUGCCAAUUUACUACUUCGUUACCAUGAUGAUGUAAUGUCAGCAAACCCUAAAACUCUAAAAAGACAAUAAAAACUACAAUUUAAACAACAAACAGCUCAAAUUAUACACAAGUUUUAACUGAAUAAUUAAUGCAAAUUAUAAGCUUCACAUUUCUGUUUAAACCCUCCAAAAAUUGGCCACAUUCACUUCCAUCAGUGCUUCACUGUAACCUUGAUUUUUGCUUUUUUUAAAGAAAAGUAGGAAUGAGUCGAAAUUACUUUUUGUUGUAAUCAACAUUAUGCCACAAAUUCUGUCAAUUGAGCUUAACUUGCAUUGAACCCGGAACAUUCGGUUAUACUUCUGUGUCGAACCUACGCCGUAUCCAACGCAUAGCUAUGGUGGUUAAGGCGUAGCUUGCGCUGUAGCCUGAUGUUACCUCUCCAAAAAUAUAACUGCGCAUCGCGUAAACACAGACCACAACAGCUGUAAUUGGUUCGCUUUAUAACCAGAGACCGCAGCAUGACAAAAAUAAAUCUGAGGUAGCAGCGCUUUUUCUCUAAGAUUAUUUUAAGAUCAGUGCAUUGUAUCCAGUGAUCAGUGAUCAUAUCACAUUGUAUUAUUUUGGACUCGUUUUGCUUUUUGAAAAUCUGCUGUUUUUAUAUUCUGUUUGUGUUUUAUGAAGUUACAAGCAAAAAUCAACAAAAAGACACUUCUGUUUACAACUUAAAAACUCUAAAAGCUGUUUCUCUGAGAUUUUACUCAAUAUAUAGGCUAUUUGGUUUGUAAGUGAAACAAUAUUUGUAUUCUACAUGAGACCGUUCCGAUCUGUACGAACUAACAUAUGUGCACAGUAAAUAACCGUAUUUGAUAAGUUAUGAAAACGGAACACUUCUGAUUUGUUAACAAAUUUAAAAGCACCUGUUAAGAGUUACAUUGCCUAUAUACAUUUUAAAGUCUGUAAAACAAUACCCAUUUUGUGUUUGUUACCCAUUAAUUUGAUGAUUUCUUUUUCAGCACGAAACAUCAAAAGUAGGCCAAAAUAUUUAUUUAUUAUAAAGUGACUCAAGAGCAAGCAUACAGGUGCAUCUCAAUAAAUUAGAAUGUCAUGGAAAAGUUCAUUUAUUUCAGUAAUUCAACUCAAAUUGUGAAACUCGUGUAUUAAAUAAAUUCAAUGCACACAGACUGAAGUAGUUUAAGUCUUUGGUUCUUUUAAUUGUGAUGAUUUUGGCUCACAUUUAACAAAAACCCACCAAUUCACUAUCUCAAAAAAUUAGAAUACAUCAUAAGACCAAUAAAAAAAACAUUUUUAGUGAAUUGUUGGCCUUUUGGAAAGUAUGUUCAUUUACUGUAUAUGUACUCAAUACUUAGUAGGGGCUCCUUUCGCUUUAAUUACUGCCUCAAUUCGGCGUGGCAUGAACAAAUUGCACAUAUUUUCUUGCUUGAUUCACUUCAAUAGCUAUUUAUAGGCAUAUUAUGGAGAUGUAAUAAAAUAAAAAACUAUUAAUUUGGACUGUUGUUUUUAAAUGGAAUGAACAGUAUGGUACGUGAAAUCGCUUUUUUAUGGAACGUAUGGUGAAAAUUUUAAAACGGGAGCUUUUUAAACUCAACAGUCUUGGCCACAACGGAUUCAAUAGCAGUGGGUUUAAUGAAGAUAUAUUGGUGUGGUUAUUGCUUUGAAAAAAAUAUCACUCACCUGUAAGUUAAUAGAAUUUCCUAUUCCAUAUGUUCUGCCAAUGGCCCUAUGAAGAUUGCAGUCUUUAAUCGCACACUAAAUUUAGUUUUUAUUUAAAAUGUGUGACAUGAAGACAUAAACUCCUGUUAUUAUAUUCAGAGACAUUGCAUAACUUUACCUUAAAAUGACUGGUAACAAUGUCAUUCCCUAGUUGCUGCUCAUAUCCAAUUUUAAGAGGGAAAAUAACAAGAAACAGGCUGGGUCGGAAAUAUUUUCAUUGUCAUAUAGAAACUAGACAAACUGGGAGAAUCCACUUCUCCAACCACUGCCCCUUGCAUUGAUGUUAUUCUACACAAACUUCCAAAAGUUUUAAAAUCUGUCUCACCCUCUCUUUCUUUUGCAUGCACGCACAUUAUCUCUCACUGAAACGAACAUGAUGAAUGAGGUGGUGUCUAGGUAGAGGAUGUGAUUGGUUCUUAAGAACGGCAAUUCGUUAUUUUGAGCCAAUCACAACAUCCUGUUCGUAAAGUUACAGAGUCGAACUAAAGAAUCGAUUCCUGUAUCAGAGUCGACUUCGAUUCUAGGAUGAUACAGAGUCGAGGAAUAGACUCUUGGAGUCAACUCCCAAUCACUAGUUGCAGCAUCGUGCAUCAAAUAAAUGCGGGAGAAGUUCUGUUCAAAUUUUAAUUUGUCUCAGUUUCUUAUUUUAUUAUAUAAUAGUGUUUAGGCGAACCCUAUACGAAUGCUUGGUUACAUUAAAGUUCUCGUCACGGAGGAGUCAAAACAACAGGAAAUAAGGUAAGAAUCCAAUUAGAUAACACAUUUACUUAAAAAUAAUUUAAUGUUGUUACAUAAGGUAUGUUGAGGCAAAAUGCUUGUUAAAUGAGCUGAUUCAUACAUUUAUGAUGAGCCAUGUAUUGUAAGUACAUUUUGUAAAUGCUUGUCUUGCCAUAAAUCAAUGAUUACCUGCCACAGUUGUAAGCAAUAUUUGAUGACGGACCAACGCACCACCGUGUGUUGUGCAUUCAAUGGUCUGGAAUCAAUAAUUCUGCUCAUCCAAAGAUUAUCACAUUUGUUUUAGCACAUCUUUCAGAUUUUGGUUCUCACGAUGCUCUUCGGGUUUUACUACAGUAAUAUUAAUUGUACUAUCCAUGUCUUUAGGAACCUUUUUUUUUACUAUAGUAAAAUUGUUUAACGAUUUUACUACAUUAAUACUGCAGUAUCCUUAUAGUAACCAUAGUUUUAAUAAAAUUAUAUUGUAGUAACUAUGACUGUAGUAAUCAUGGUUAAUUUUGUGGCUCUGGUUUUACCUCAGAUACCAUGGUUUAAUGAUGCUUACUAAAACAUUGGGUAGUUUUUGCAAAUAUAGAUAGUGCUAAAGACUUGUCAGUUUUGAAUCCUGACUCCACUUCUGUGCUCAAAGAGGACUGGGUGCCUGUGUUUAAGGACAAGAUCCUGCACUUUGCCAACUGGGAGAAGUCGCUCUUUAUCUGCUUUCCAAUGUGGAAACUAUGACAGCAGACAAGUUGUCAUCGCCUUUCUGGUCCCUAUUGUGCUCUCAACAUUGAUACAUGAUUGGAAGGAAAAUGUUUGGAUCAAGCUUCACAGGAACCAGGAAAGCCUUCAUUGACAUGCAGGCUGUUGGUACCAGUGGCAUUUCUGGAAUUUCUACUGACUGGAAACUUUGUGUUGACAGUCUUCAGUUGUAUCCUUGUAGUCAUGUUUUAAUGUGUUUUAGUGUGGCAUGUUAGUUCAAAAUGUUUGUUUUAUGUAAAAGUCGCUAAUUAAAUAAGUAGCUAACAAUGUUUGCACAUUCCACUUAAUUAUAAAGUUUGCAAAAUUAAUUUGUCUUUGCUAUUGUCAUUUUUUGUUUUUAAAUUUGUAUGUGAUAUUGCUGCAACAUUGUAAACUUCACAGGUGCUAUUUUCUAAACUUUAUUUAGUGUUUAACAUUAAGACCAAAUGUAACUGUAGUUCAAGGUACAUAGGUACUGUUCCUGUCUUGUACAUAUUUCGAUACCAAACCUGUUUCUUUGUACUCCCAUUUGUGUUUUAGAUUAUAUAAGUUGGUGUGUUUUUGUGGUUUUAUAUUUUUCUUGGAUACAUUUACAAAUGUAUUGCGGUUUAAAUGUUUAAUGAAUUUGUAACAUUGUA